UGCCUGGAGUGAAGAUUCUGCCCAUUGGUCAAGAGACCUCCCUCUCAGAUGCUGGCUCUGCCCCUGCCUUUGGGGGUCGACCCUUGUACUCGCAGGACCUUAGGUGACUCUAUUCUACUUCUCUGAUCAUCCAGGAAGCCAACCUGCCUGAGGACGAGUCAUACUCUGUCCUCCCACCCCAGGCCAGAGAGUGGUAUCUGUCUUUCCACAAGUUGGAUCUGAAUGAUGCAGUGUCGCAAUCCCAUUUUAUAAAUGAGGCAACCAAAACUCGAACAGGACCAUAUUGCGACUGAAACAAGGCAUAACAGGUCUUUGACUGGCUAUCCUGUGGAUGUGGACUCAGGCUAGCCUGCGCAAAGUGAAAGACAGGCAAUUAGAUUGAAAAAUACCUGUGAUUCAAAGAAGUCACAAGUCACAGAGACAAACUUUUCCCAGUGUGUUCGAGUCAGAGAACCUUUGCAAAGACCAACAGGCUAAAAGAGAAAAUACAAUGUCAUCUUGAUGCAGAUGAGCAGGUAACCAUGGAAGUCGUGAGCUGAGGCUGCAGAGUCUAGAGCCAGAGUGUGGAAUAAACUUGGGUCUCAAAUCACCCCUGGAGCAAAGCACCCAUCUAAUCAGGAACUUCUACUUUCAACUUUACAUGCGUGAGAAAUGAACUUCUAUCAUGUUAGAGAAAUCCUUACACGGCGCCCUUGAGAGCUUUCAUACUGCAAGUCAUCCAUUUUCCUCCCCUCAAACCUGGCAUCGGAGUUUAUUGAAACAAAGCAAAAUAAAA
rnacentral:lncRNA from 1 species